rnacentral:rRNA from 1 species
UCAGGAUGAACGCUAGCUACAGGCUUAACACAUGCAAGUCCAGGGGCAGCAUUUUAGUUUGCUUGCAAACUAAAGAUGGCGACCGGCGCACGGGUGAGUAACACGUAUCCAACCUGCCGAUAACUCGGGGAUAGCCUUUCGAAAGAAAGAUUAAUAUCCGAUAGUAUAUUAAAACCGCAUGGUUUUACUAUUAAAGAAUUUCGGUUAUCGAUGGGGAUGCGUUCCAUUAGUUUGUUGGCGGGGUAACGGCCCACCAAGACUACGAUGGAUAGGGGUUCUGAGAGGAAGGUCCCCCACAUUGGAACUGAGACACGGUCCAAACUCCCACGGGAGGCAGCAGUGAGGAAUAUUGGUCAAUGGACGAGAGUCUGAACCAGCCAAGUAGCGUGAAGGAUGACUGCCCUAUGGGUUGUAAACUUCUUUUAUAUGGGAAUAAAGUAUUCCACGUGUGGGAUUUUGUAUGUACCAUAUGAAUAAGGAUCGGCUAACUCCGUGCCAGCAGCCGCGGUAAUACGGAGGAUCCGAGCGUUAUCCGGAUUUAUUGGGUUUAAAGGGAGCGUAGGUGGAUUGUUAAGUCAGUUGUGAAAGUUUGCGGCUCAACCGUAAAAUUGCAGUUGAAACUGGCAGUCUUGAGUACAGUAGAGGUGGGCGGAAUUCGUGGUGUAGCGGUGAAAUGCUUAGAUAUCACGAAGAACUCCGAUUGCGAAGGCAGCUCACUAGACUGCAACUGACACUGAUGCUCGAAAGUGUGGGUAUCAAACAGGAUUAGAUACCCUGGUAGUCCACACAGUAAACGAUGAAUACUCGCUGUUUGCGAUAUACAGUAAGCGGCCAAGCGAAAGCAUUAAGUAUUCCACCUGGGGAGUACGCCGGCAACGGUGAAACUCAAAGGAAUUGACGGGGGCCCGCACAAGCGGAGGAACAUGUGGUUUAAUUCGAUGAUACGCGAGGAACCUUACCCGGGCUUAAAUUGCAUUUGAAUAAUCUGGAAACAGGUUAGCCGCAAGGCAAAUGUGAAGGUGCUGCAUGGUUGUCGUCAGCUCGUGCCGUGAGGUGUCGGCUUAAGUGCCAUAACGAGCGCAACCCUUAUCUUUAGUUACUAACAGGUCAUGCUGAGGACUCUAGAGAGACUGCCGUCGUAAGAUGUGAGGAAGGUGGGGAUGACGUCAAAUCAGCACGGCCCUUACGUCCGGGGCUACACACGUGUUACAAUGGGGGGUACAGAAGGCAGCUACCUGGCGACAGGAUGCUAAUCCCAAAAACCUCUCUCAGUUCGGAUCGAAGUCUGCAACCCGACUUCGUGAAGCUGGAUUCGCUAGUAAUCGCGCAUCAGCCAUGGCGCGGUGAAUACGUUCCCGGGCCUUGUACACACCGCCCGUCAAGCCAUGAAAGCCGGGGGUACCUGAAGUACGUAACCGCAAGGAGCGUCCUAGGGUAAAA